rnacentral:rRNA from 1 species
ACGCUGGCGGCAGGCCUAACACAUGCAAGUCGAGCGGUAGAGAGAAGCUUGCUUCUCUUGAGAGCGGCGGACGGGUGAGUAAUGCCUAGGAAUCUGCCUGGUAGUGGGGGAUAACGUUCGGAAACGGACGCUAAUACCGCAUACGUCCUACGGGAGAAAGCAGGGGACCUUCGGGCCUUGCGCUAUCAGAUGAGCCUAGGUCGGAUUAGCUAGUUGGUGGGGUAAUGGCUCACCAAGGCGACGAUCCGUAACUGGUCUGAGAGGAUGAUCAGUCACACUGGAACUGAGACACGGUCCAGACUCCUACGGGAGGCAGCAGUGGGGAAUAUUGGACAAUGGGCGAAAGCCUGAUCCAGCCAUGCCGCGUGUGUGAAGAAGGUCUUCGGAUUGUAAAGCACUUUAAGUUGGGAGGAAGGGUUGUAGAUUAAUACUCUGCAAUUUUGACGUUACCGACAGAAUAAGCACCGGCUAACUCUGUGCCAGCAGCCGCGGUAAUACAGAGGGUGCAAGCGUUAAUCGGAAUUACUGGGCGUAAAGCGCGCGUAGGUGGUUUGUUAAGUUGGAUGUGAAAUCCCCGGGCUCAACCUGGGAACUGCAUUCAAAACUGACUGACUAGAGUAUGGUAGAGGGUGGUGGAAUUUCCUGUGUAGCGGUGAAAUGCGUAGAUAUAGGAAGGAACACCAGUGGCGAAGGCGACCACCGGACUAAUACUGACACUGAGGUGCGAAAGCGUGGGGAGCAAAC